rnacentral:lncRNA from 1 species
GCAGGUGCGGGCAAAUAGAUAACUAAAGAAGGAGGCUCAAGACGGCGACCGACGAGGUUGCUCGCCUUCAGAAGCAGUUGUCUGAAAGAGCCCAGGUUGUUUUGGUUCAAGGCUCCGACGAUCUCCGAUCCUUAAGGGGGUCCAUGGAAGAACUGUCCGUAGCCCUUGGGAAGGAGAAGGCCAAACUGUAGUGGCUGAAAAUUCAGCUGACCUAUGAGCAACAGGCAGUCAAGGAUGC